GUUUCUCAGGAGGCGACCGGAAGAGUUAAGGUGUUUUGCUUUUAGAUAAGGGCAAGGGGACAAAGAAGAGGCCUGCCCAGAGGAUUUCUGGUGCGCAGGACCCUCCUGCGCAGGUUCUGUGCACUGUGGUUGCCAUAGAAACGUGAUGUCAUUGUGGCGACAGUGACAACAUUCUGAAGGAGACGGAGUUGCUUUCUUGAGAAAAUGCCUGACCCGCCUUCAGGAGUGGUCAGCAGAGGGUCUCUUCAUCUGGUGUUUGAGCUCAUAUCAGAUGUCUAAAGAAGAUAGUUUCUGAGGUUGUGGGUCAUGAUGGCUGCUGAAGCUUCUACUCCAGAUCUGAAGGGUAGCAGUGCUCAGGAGACCCCAGACACUUACAUCCCUGAGUAUAACAUCAGAGAAGGGUGGGAAUGCUGUACUCCAGAACAAGGGGCUCUUGGAGAAGAACCAAGUUUGCUAUGGAAUCUGCUGGAGAGGUUACUGGAACAAGAAUGAAGAGGUCAUAGGGAUCUCUUAUGCAGUUUUUAAGUAGCAGUCAGAGCUAAAAUCCUAACCAGCACACUCAGGAAGAAGAAACACACCACAGUUGAACUCUGUCAUCCUAUUUUGGGUAAUAUUGGGUCAGGAAUGUAUGUCUUUGGGAGGAUGUGGUGCUUGGGUAGCUAUUGUGCCUUAAAGCAGAUGGUGUUUGAGAAAAUAAAAAGAUAAUAAUUGUAAAAACAAAGGAUAACAAAUAUUUUUAAAAGUAACACUCCUCAAAG
rnacentral:lncRNA from 1 species